rnacentral:tRNA from 3 species
CGGAUGUAGCCAAGUGGAUCAAGGCAUG